UUUUUUUUAUUGAAAAUUCGUAACAAGGUUUCCGUAGGUGGACCUGCGGAAGGAUCAUUAUCAAAACAGCGGACUUCSGGUCCUUGCUGCACCCUUGUCUUUUGCGAUACCGUAUGUUUCCUCGGCGGGCUUGCCUGCCGGUUGGACAUUAUCAAACCUUUUUGUAGUUGCAAUCAGCGUCAGAAAACAAACAAUAAUUACAACUUUCAACAACGGAUCUCUUGGUUCUGGGCAUCGAUGAAGAACGCAGCGAAAUGCGAAAAAGUAGUGUGAAUUGCAGAAUUCAGUGAAUCAUCGAAUCUUUGAACGCACAUUGCGCCCCUUGGUAUUCCAUGGGGCAUGCCUGUUCGAGCGUCAUUUUGUACCCUCAAGCACUGCUUGGUGUUGGGCGUUUGUCCUGCAAAGGACUCGCCUGAAAGCGAUUGGCGGCCAACGUACUGGUGGUAGAGCGCAGCACAAUUUGCGUCUCUCCCUUCUACGUUGGCGUCCAUGAAGCCUAUUUUCAACGUUUGACCUCGGAUCAGGUAGGGAUACCCGCUGAACUUAAGCAUAUCAAUAAGCGGAGGAAAAGAAACCAACAGGGAUUGCCCUAGUAACGGCGAGUGAAGCGGCAUCAGCUCAAAUUUGAAAUCUGGCUCUUUCAGAGUCCGAGUUGUAAUUUGCAGAGGGCGCUUUGGUGUCGGCAGCGGUCCAAGUUCCUUGGAACAGGACGUCACAGAGGGUGAGAAUCCCGUACGUGGUCGCUGACCUACACCGUGUAAAGCCCCUUCGACGAGUCGAGUUGUUUGGGAAUGCAGCUCUAAAUGGGAGGUAAAUUUCUUCUAAAGCUAAAUACUGGCCAGAGACCGAUAGCGCACAAGUAGAGUGAUCGAAAGAUGAAAAGCACUUUGGAAAGAGAGUCAAACAGCACGUGAAAUUGUUGAAAGGGAAGCGCUUGCAGCCAGACUUGCUUGUAGUUGCUCAUCCGGGCUUUUUGCCCGGGUGCACUCUUCUGCGAAGCAGGCCAGCAUCAAGUUUGGACGGUUGGAUAAAGGCCCUCUGUCACGUACCUUCUCUCGGGAAGGCCUUAUAGGGGAGGCGUCAUGCAACCCAGUCUGGACUGGAGGUCCGCGCAUCUGCUAGGAUGCUGGAAUGAUGGCCGUAACGGCCCCUUAAACCCGGAACAAA
rnacentral:rRNA from 1 species